rnacentral:rRNA from 3 species
GAAGAGUUUGAUCAUGGCUCAGAUUGAACGCUGGCGGCAGGCCUAACACAUGCAAGUCGAACGGUAACAGGAAGCAGCUUGCUGCUUUGCUGACGAGUGGCGGACGGGUGAGUAAUGUCUGGGAAACUGCCUGAUGGAGGGGGAUAACUACUGGAAACGGUGGCUAAUACCGCAUAACGUCGCAAGACCAAAGAGGGGGACCUUCGGGCCUCUUGCCAUCAGAUGUGCCCAGAUGGGAUUAGCUUGUUGGUGAGGUAACGGCUCACCAAGGCGACGAUCCCUAGCUGGUCUGAGAGGAUGACCAGCCACACUGGAACUGAGACACGGUCCAGACUCCUACGGGAGGCAGCAGUGGGGAAUAUUGCACAAUGGGCGCAAGCCUGAUGCAGCCAUGCCGCGUGUAUGAAGAAGGCCUUCGGGUUGUAAAGUACUUUCAGCGGGGAGGAAGGUGUUGUGGUUAAUAACCGCAGCAAUUGACGUUACCCGCAGAAGAAGCACCGGCUAACUCCGUGCCAGCAGCCGCGGUAAUACGGAGGGUGCAAGCGUUAAUCGGAAUUACUGGGCGUAAAGCGCACGCAGGCGGUCUGUCAAGUCGGAUGUGAAAUCCCCGGGCUCAACCUGGGAACUGCAUUCGAAACUGGCAGGCUUGAGUCUUGUAGAGGGGGGUAGAAUUCCAGGUGUAGCGGUGAAAUGCGUAGAGAUCUGGAGGAAUACCGGUGGCGAAGGCGGCCCCCUGGACAAAGACUGACGCUCAGGUGCGAAAGCGUGGGGAGCAAACAGGAUUAGAUACCCUGGUAGUCCACGCCGUAAACGAUGUCUACUUGGAGGUUGUGCCCUUGAGGCGUGGCUUCCGGAGCUAACGCGUUAAGUAGACCGCCUGGGGAGUACGGCCGCAAGGUUAAAACUCAAAUGAAUUGACGGGGGCCCGCACAAGCGGUGGAGCAUGUGGUUUAAUUCGAUGCAACGCGAAGAACCUUACCUGGUCUUGACAUCCACAGAACUUUCCAGAGAUGGAUUGGUGCCUUCGGGAAC